GCCUCGAACAUUGGGGAGUAGUCGUCCCGCGGUCCUGCCGCGGGAACCUGUAUCAACAUGAUUGGCCCGCAGGCCAUGGUGCAGGUGGUUGCAGAACUUGACGAGACCAUUGAUCCAGGGCGGCCGCAUGGGCCGGAGUCGCCCGUGGAUCAUUGGUUAAUUCGUCCGGCCCGCGUACCUCU
rnacentral:sRNA from 2 species